GAAGCGGUGCGUUUUAACAAGAGCCUGGGUGCCGGCGGGCUGAGGCGUAAAAUGGCGUCAGCCCCCAAAAUGGCGUCAGCCCCAAGUGAGGACGGGGCAGGGGUUUUAUUGUCUCCUAUAAACAGGGGGCGUCUCGGUCUGACGUAACUGCUACGCGGUACCCGGAUGGCCUCUUUCUCCAUCUUCAGGGGUUCAAGCGAUUCUCCUGCCUCAGCCUCCCGAGUUGCUGGGACUACAGGCACGCACCACCAUGCCCAGCGGCCUCCAACACAACCGCAUCUGGGAAAUUGGAGCUGACACCUUCAGCCAGCUGAGCUCCCUGCAAGCCCU
rnacentral:lncRNA from 1 species